rnacentral:rRNA from 1 species
UACGUAGGGUGCGAGCGUUGUCCGGAAUUAUUGGGCGUAAAGGGCUCGUAGGCGGUCCAUCGCGUCGGGAGUGAAAAGCUGGGGCUUAACCCCAGUCCUGCAUUCGAUACGGGUGGACUAGAGGUAGGCAGGGGAGAAUGGAAUUCCUGGUGUAGCGGUGAAAUGCGCAGAUAUCAGGAGGAACACCAAUGGCGAAGGCAGCUCGCUGGGACGGUACUGACGCUGAGACGCGAAAGCGUGGGGAGCAAACAGG